UGGAAGACUACGAGUGAUGCUAUUGUAUCUCAGGAAAUGCAUCGGGCCACACAGGAGUCGAUACUGGAAGAAGACAAAGGGAGGAGGCCACAAAGGAGUCCAUACUGGAAGAAGACAAAGGGAGGAGGCCACACAGGAGUCCAUACUGGAAGAAGACAAAGGGAGGAGGCCACACAGGAGUCCAUACUGGAAGAAGACAAAGGGAGGAGGCCACACAGGAGUCCAUACUGGAAGAAGACAAAGGGAGGAGGCCAAGGACUGAAAGGCCCUGAUGAUUGCAUGGGUACCUUAGUUGUUCCAAGGAUUCAUCUGCUGGGGACUGGAUAUAUAAUAAUAUUAAAUCAGAACACAGCAACCCCUUUGUAGUAAAUGAGAGAUUCCUGAUUUUUUGCUACUACUUAGAGACCCACAAAGUAUCCAAUCCUCAUUGCUGCCAUUAAAAGUGAUAAAGAAAUCAAAUAUCCUUGCUGACAAUCGAGUUUUGCUUCACAAGGGAUGACUGGAGGAAUGCAGGAGGCAAGUCAGAGAAGGUUCUUGCUGCUGUUUUGAACAACCAGAAGUAUUCAUUCUUUCUUGAUAAUAAGAAUAUAUAGUUGCAGGAGAAGGAUCUUGUGAUAAAGAAAUGUGAUGCCUAGAACUAAUUAAUGAUGGAACUGUUGGUUGUAUCCAGUGAUACUGAGGAACAACAACAACAGCCAGAUUUUUGAUAUCAGCAUCACAGUUGAUGACGAUGUUAUAGGGCGAUGGUACAAACAUCAUUGGUAGUGUGAGUAGUGUCAGAGAACACACAAGUAAUGCAUUCACUGCAGUGCCGGAUCUUAAAUAUGCAGAAACUUUUGUUGGUGUGGAUAUUAGUCAUGAAUUAGACAGAGAGCUCAGUGGAUUGUGUAGAGUACUGUAACAGUUAUAGAUGGAAGAAGAGUGAAAACUACAGAAAUAGAUGUUGUAAAAGAAGAGGCAGCAGCAGAAAGCAGAG
rnacentral:lncRNA from 1 species